rnacentral:misc_RNA from 1 species
GUUCCCCUUUCCCCAGUAUAAUUUUCUAAAAGUUCAGAAAAUGACUUUCCAUUUUAUAAAAUGAAGCCAUUUGAUUUGAAAAAUUGUUUCGUUGACUGAUUUUCCUAAGCAUCGAAAAUAUAGGAAAGAAGAGAAUAAUGUUUUUCAGAAAAAAACUUGUGUGAAAAAACCAGAUCCUUAAGCAUCAUAUGUUUCUUCUCUAAGAGAAAAAAGACAUUAUUUUUCGAAUCAGGAAAGUUUAUGAAUAAACUUAAUGAGCACAUACUUAGCUGUUUGUAUUUUCUAUGCCUAUCUGUAACUGGAUUCCAGUACUUGUAAAAGUGACUCUUCUUUUUGCUUGUAAUUUUAAUAAUAACGUUAUGGACACUGAUGCAUAAAGUUAAACA